UUAUAUAUUUAUUUAUUUAUUUUUGCUGAUAGUAGUAGGCAAGCUACGUUUUGGUAUAUAUUUAUGCUGUAGAAUAGUUUUGACGAACUUCUAGUGGCUAGAAAACAAUUAUACCAAUUGCAAUGAGGAAACAAGCACAAGACUUGCUAUGCAUUAGUUAAAGAGUCUGGUUGUGGCACAACCCACAGAGUAGAUUAGGGAAUUGAACUAAUGCAAUGAAAUAAUGCUUACAGAUGGCAAUACUGAAGUUGACCUUGACAAAGGUGAGCAGAGAAAAGUGAAGUUGCAAGAUGAACUUUUGGAAUAUGAAUAUUAAAGCAGAUAGUGGGAUUGAACAUGCCAAAAUAUCAGAAUUUAGUCUUUAGGUUUGAGCCUUUGUCAAGGGACAGAUGUCAUGUAUUCUAAUAUAGAUCGUUUCCUGGCUUCACUAUCAAACUCUGCAGUUAUGACAAAUGCCAAAUAAAUGAUGUUUUAAUGAUUUAAUUAUACAAUUUAGAAGAAACGAAUGAUAUAGGGGAUAAGGUUACUGGAUAGUGUUGUAUUGAAACUUGUAAAAUUUUGAAGCGUGUGGCAAAGAUGUUGCAUAUUUGAUUCUUUAGGGUAGCCAAUUUAUGUAAAAAUCCCAAAGGAGAGAUCAUCUUUAUUCCCUUUUCCUCUAGAACACACUUUGAUGGUAAUAUAACGUGGUGAUGGUCUUUAAAUGAUGCAGGAGGACUGAAAUUGCAUGUUCUCAAAAAAUAUGUACCCGCUCAGUCAUCACUUUUUUUGUGUGAUGUAAAAUUCAUCUGGUUAACUAAAGAGAAAUAAAAAAACACUCUUAAAACAAAUGUUUUCUUGUUAGCUGCUGGCUUUAUUUGUUAUUUUGUUUAUAGAAUACCUUUUAGUUGAUGCUUUUCUUUCUGCUGCAGAUAACUUGAACGGAAGCAUUGA
rnacentral:misc_RNA from 1 species